CGGGGCUCCGGGGCCGCGCGGGCCGACGGGCGGGUCCCGGCGCGGCGUUCAGCGGCUGGAGCUGGACAGCGCCCGCGGGGCCCCUCGGCACCGCGCUCCGCUGCCUCCGGAGGGGCCGCGGAGAAGCCAAAGGGGCCCCCGAACCAGCAAAGGGGCCCGUGCCCCUCGCAAGCUACAGCCCUGAGCUCCCGUAGCCGCCCCGCCUGUGCGUGUGUGUGUGAGCGUGUGUGUGAAUGCGUGUGUGUGAGUGUGUGCCUGUGUGUGAGAGAGUGAGAGUGUGCGCGUGUGUGUGUGAAUGUGGGUGUGCAUGUGCGCGUGCAUGUGCGUGCACCACUGGGGCAGAUCUGGGCCUUCAGCCCAGCUCCUCUCCAGGCAGGGUGGCUUAGCGGGUGACCUGGAUAUUUCUGUAUCAACUCCGUGGCCGCUGUGCCCACCCCUCGGGGGUUCAAUGAAACCAUCAUCCCCGCCUGAGGCAAUGCUUUUCCCAAGGCGCUGCGGGGCUGGGAGGUCUCACUGUGAGGAGAUUUGCCUCCAGUGCACAGUGGUAUCCGUGGCUUUCCCCACUGACGUUUGUGUACCCUACUUCUGUAGAGGCUCUCAUUGUCUCCUUUUACUGUUUGAAAGAGGGCUUUUCCCCCAUAGUUCGAUUUGGAUCUGGGGUGGGGUAGGUUUGAUUUGCUCUUGUUUGUGUGCAGAACGUGGAUGAGGAGACAUGUCGCUGCAGAUGAACACCAAUAAAUAAUUUAAUCUCUAGGAAUUGCUUCUGCAGAAGCAUGCUGGAAUGGCGGGUGAUGGGUUUUGGUUAAAGGGAGAGGCUGUGGGAACUACAACAGCACAAUGCACAUGUAGAGCCCAUAGGCAGGAGGGCAGGCAGUGACCACACUGGCUACACAAAAAGCCUACAAUCUUGUUUUCCAAAGAGCAGAGCUCUUGUUUUUUGAAGCAAAUCAUAUCAAGAUAAUAACCUGUUUGUUGGACUAGAUUGGUAUAUUGAGGACUGAAUUAUACCCGUUUUGUGGAUGUAUAUAUAUAUAUGUAUAUAUAUGUAUAUAUAUACAUGCAUUUCAUUACAACUACUCAAAGUAAGGCAUGCUAGGCUUGCAGCUUUGUACCUAAUAUGAAAACGUCAAGGAAGCUGCUAUGGUGGAUGGGCUUCUAGUGUGGGAAAUGGGGAGGCAUCUGUGAGUGUGGAAACUCCAGUGAAGUGUGUGGAGGCUGGGGUGGGGACAGCGGUGUUGCUAUGAGCACGGCAGCAGCAUCUGGAGAGAACCGCGCAGCCGCGGGCGCCAGGGAGAGCGAUGUGCGGGGAACAACGAGGGGAAACCAACAUUGCUGAAAAUUAAUUCAAAUAUAAUGUAGGCAUUAGCAUUUCACCUGGUCAAGCUCCAUUAGACAGCCUUGCUGAGAACCUAAUGAAUUCUUAAUAAAGAUUAAAUCGCAUGUUCAUUAGAUUUUGAUGAAAGAGUGCUAUUUUUUUUUUAAUACUGUAUUAUUGGUGUGCUUCUAGAUAAUAAAUCUCAUCCUCAUGAAUGGCUGAAGCAGCUUUACACUUGGAUAUUGCCUUGAAAACAAGCACAGGAAUCUAUAGACAGAUUGGGGAAUGUUAAGACAAAGGAACAGAGAGCAGACAUUGUUACAUAGGAAUAGAAGAGGUUACACACUGCCCAGUUAAUCCUUGAAAUGUUAGAUAGCAGGAGCAGAAGUAGAAAUUACAGUAAUUUGAGAGUGUAGCCAGGAUGUAGAUAAGGAUUUGUAAAUGUAAUUCAGGAUUUUUUGAGUGAAAUAUUUGAAGAUACCUUUUAGCUGGUGAGUGGGGGGGUUACCGAGCAAAAAAAGAGGUACUGGUGAAUGACAGAGAGAUGGAACUGGAGUCUGGAAUGUACAUCUCAAACAGUGGCAUCACAGGCUAGGAAAGACACUUUUCUUACCACUCAUGGUUGUUUUGACACCCUUCAGCCUUGCACUUUGACUACUCCACCUUGGCUGAUUAAUUUUGCCGUAUUUUUUCACAACCAGUUUUUUCACAGCAAUCCAGAUACUUUUACCCAUGCCUCAAAAUGAAGGGUCAGAGCCAAGCUAGUCAGAGGAACAAUUCUGAAAGGCAUGGUUGUGCCAUGCAAGCCAAUGAGACUCCAGAGUGUGCCACAGCAUUCAGAAUCAGGCUGCGUCCAGAUUCUGUUUUCAUUCAGCCAAAUCUAAAAACCAUCUGUAACCAAGCAAAGCUGGGGCUUUCCAUUAAAAUCCAAGCUAGAAGGUGAGAGUUACUGGACAAGAGAAAUUAAUCUGCUCACACCACCCUAUCUCAGUAAAUUAAUGAUGUAGGAGUACAGUGGAUGUUAACAUUUUUUAGAUCUUAUCUAGUCAAGUAAAUGUCGAGCAUAUGCAGAAUUUGGAAUUUACAAUAGUCUUUUCUGGAAUACCUGGAUUGUAGCAUGAAAUCGAGACUGAUGUUAUUCUAGGAUAUUUUUGUGGAUUCUUAAAACUCUGAUGAAUAUGCUUGUUCAUCAAAAGCCCCAGCAGAGCAGGACACUGAGCAUAUCUCCAUCUCUUACUGCUUCGCAGGACACUUAAAUCCCUGCAACGAUCCAGUGGUGAGCAGGGUUGGAUGCUCAGGUGGGGACACCAUCCGCUGCCAUCAGCACAAGGCUUCCAGGGAAUUCAGUGUUUAAUCGUGCUUACGCAGAGAGGCUGAGUUAGCUGGCAUGGCUUCAAAAACAAGGUCCUGCCACCUACUCAGCAGCCACCGUUCUCGUUGGUGAGCCAGGGCAACAUUUCACCUUCCCAAACGAGGGGAUAGCAAUAGGUGUGGCAUUCCAGAGGAGAUGUGGCUUUCUCUGGUAACAGGAAAAAUCUUGUGGCGUGGGUUUUGGUUUUGGAUUUUGCUUUUGCAGAAGCAGCAGCUUCUGUCCCCUGCUGAGCUGGGCGCAGAGAACUGGGUCCAGCUAGCUUUCACAAGAUGCCAGAGCUUCCAGCCCUGCAUGUCCUCGAGAGCAGCUAUGUGCCUCUUCACCAGAAGUGUUGGCAGUAACUCAGUUGACAGGUUUCUCUGCUGUGCCAGUCAUUUUUACAAAAUGUUUUUUAUGUUAAAUAUGAGAAGGAUGGAAAUAUACAAUCAGGAGAAAAAUACACUAGUGUACAGUGUUUAUCUUCAAAUAUCUAUAUCUUCUCCCCAACAGCCAUCAGUCCCAACAGCCGACUGAUAUGUUGUUCUAACCUUUUUCAAAAAGCCCCUCAAAACAGCCUCAGGUUCUACUUGCUCUCUAUGUAACCAAAUUACUUAUAAUCUAAUGAACUUCUUCAGUGAGAAGCAAUCCCCACCCACUGGUUUUACAGCAAUUUGAUGCCAAAUGCCAUUGAAAUGAAAUGAUGUGUUGUGAACACCCACUUCAGUGCUCUUUGCUGCGUGUCUGUGUCUCAAAUCCAUAGUGAUUUCACACUUGCAGCCCCUUCCCCCAGGAAUACUUCACCCCACAGGGGCUAACAGCGCAGAGUUGUUUUGCCUCUGCAGCAUCUUCCCAGGGACAGGGCUGCAGACUGUGUCUUCAUGGUCUGUCCCACUCCCCAGCACAGCUCUUCUGCCCUCUGGCACUGGGUGCACAGCCCCACUUGGCUCUGCUUCCAUCUGGGAACUGUUUGAUCGUGGUGUGAGCUGGCAUCCCAGAGGCAUGAAUCUCACUAGAGCACCAGGUCAGGCUGAGCCAUCCUCAUUCUUGUCUCCUGCUAUUUUCCAGGAUUUCUGUGAUUUAAAGCCCAAAGUAGGGCAGUGGCAGGCUGCACCUGGGCAGCAUUUGAGCUGGGUUUCAAUAAGCAGAGGAAAGAGCUGCAGCCUUCCUGAUGAAGUUGUGUCAUUCUUCCAAGACCUGCCCCAGCACACUCUGCCAUGGGUGUGGAUUUGGCACCGUGCCUGUGGCACAUGGACCCUGACAGGAAGGAGGCUCUGGUUGGGCUGUUUUGGCAGUGGAACCUGCAGUGAAAGCAGUACCAAUCUGCCUGCUGGGGCAGCUCUGGGAUGUUGGGAUGGCAGCUGGGCAGUGCACUGCUCACCGUAGCAAGGCAGGAUCUCCUGCCGGGGUAUCAGAGAUCAUCCCAGUGGAGGCUACUGUAGGAGGGGGCUCUCCCCUCACAGCAACUUCUUUCCCCACCUCCACAGAUGCUUUCUUGCAUCUCUGGGUGCUGUUGGUGUCAUGUUCUACAUUUUGCAGUGGCACAACACAGAGAGAUUGCCCCUGAAACAGGCAAGAAGAAGAGCUUGGAACAAAGGAGAGUAAGGCUGUUCAUUGUGGCUUGUAGUUGCAAAUGGUAAUCAUGUUUUCAGCAUUUAUUUCCUUCCUCUUGGAUUUUUAAUUGUGCCAAAACAUUAACAACCAUAGUUCCUUCUUUUAUAUUUAAGGUUCUUGUUAUUAGACUGAGAGAGAUUUCGGAGAAAAGCAGUAACAAUGUUAGGAGGCAAGAUGGAAUACAUUUAGGGUUUGUGUUUUUUCUUUUUCCUUGACAGUUUUUAAUUUGUUUCUUGUUUUAGGGACUCAUAAAAGUAAAAAUAUCUUUCAGUGACAACAGUGAACUGCAUAGCUUCUCCUCUUCCAACCCAGUUUUAAAACGUUAAAAGAAAUUUGCCUGUCAUAUUCUGACAUGACACAUCUAGUCCUGUUGGAAAUGUUUUAGCAAUCUAAUGAGAUGAAAGCAGUUGUUUUAAUGAGCUCAGAAGAAAGAGACAAAUCUGCUGCACAAAUGUAACCAGGGAUCUGUUUUGUUUUAUGGCUUGGCUAACCCAGAGGUUGUAAGAGACAUUAGACUGACAAAUGAAUUAGGUAACAAAUUAAAGAAGGUUGUGGUUUUCCUCUUCAGUCUGUCCUUUCCCAUUUGUCUGGAAUACAACUUCAUACCUGAUGUGAGUUCUCCAGAGUGCUUACCUGAGGAAUAUGGGGAUGAUAAUCAAAAUGGGUGAAGAAUGAAAAAGAGACGAAUAAUGGAGGUCAGGGCACGGUGUUGACUCUUCUGUUUGGUCUGGUCAAGAGAAAAGUGAAAUUAAAAAGGGCUUCACUGAUGGCCAAGGCAGAAGCAGGUUGUUGGAGAGUAAGAGCAGUCAGGAGUGUCUCACAUACUCAUAAUGAUCUCGUUUUCUUCAGUCCCCUUUCAGAGUCACAGCCUGCUUCUGCAAGUAUCAAGCUCCCAUGGUUUCUCCUGGAUCUGCAGGAUACAAAAUCACAAAUGAGUGUUGAAGCCAGAAAGCAUGAUGCAAGUGCAGGGUCCAAGAGUUCAGUUUUACAAACUCUUGCUCAGAUAGUGAGGAAGGCAAAAAUCUUUUCCAGUGAGGCAGCAGCCAUACACAGUGCACAGACAGCCCCAUCCUCUACACUCUGAAGUCCAUGGUUACACCCUGACUGCAGCUGAGUGUGAAAGAUGGGAUUUGGUCCUUUAUUUAUUACAUUGGUUUAAAGACGAGUUCCAGCAGCUUUCACAUUAAUUGAGAAAGAACUGAGGAAUGCCCUCAGAAGGGAGCUCAGGAAACUGUGUAGUAAGCUGACAUCACACCUAUUUUCUAAUUGCUAAUCAAUAAAGUUUUUAACAUUGAAAGGGAAGGACUGGCAGAGAUGGAAUUACUUUGUUUUUCUUUAUUCUUGGGCAUGUUCUGCUUUACUUGGUCACCAAAAAUUAUUUCAGUUCAUCAGCAAGCCUUUCAUCUGAGUAUAAAAUCUGUAAGCUUAAAGGAGCUGGAAUACACCAGCUUUCAAGGGAGACAAGAGGGAUGGGUAACACAGGGUCCUCUUGCAAUUAGUCCUGAGUGUGGACCAUAGCUGUUAAUAAUCCCCCUCUCCCCAUCAGGCCCAUCUGUGGGGUCUUGUGUCCUCAGGAGCCAAAGACAAUUUCUCAUCUGUUCUAUUUGUUACAGGAUAAUUUGUGCAGUCUUUCAGCAGAAGUUCUGCUGGUUCAUUGCAAGAGUUGCUUAUGGGAAAAGGUUGGGAGAUGCUGAUCCUAGUAAGUGCUUUGAGGUGUGAUCUCUGACAGAGCCCAGAGCUCUUGACUGACUGUUUAGGAUUGAGGUGUUCCAGGAAAACUGGGAGCAGGUUUCAGCAGAAGCAGGAUCCAAUACAGGUAGGAAAUAUAGGAUUUGAUAACAAGGAAAGGGAUUGUAUUUUCUUUGGCAUGUGUCAGGCUACAUAGUGUAGAAAUGGGGAGAUCCAUGUUUCCACUGGGAGGCCAUGAGGGAUGUGUUCAGUUGAGUGGUUCAGCAGCCUUUCACUUGUCCAAGAGAAAUAUUCCUCUUUAGAGAAUUCGUUACCCCAGUCUUACACCUUGGCAGGGAGGCUGGCAAUGGACAUUUUGUCUCUGUGCACGUCCCUCCUCUGAAACAUAAUCCCCCAAGUGUUUAAAACAGUCUGAAAGGCAGAGCAGUGACUCAUGCUUUGAGAUUCCAGCAACUUCAGACUUGUAUUAAAUUCUCUUGUCUACAAGAGCAUAAUCAACAGCAACUUGUACACACCAUAACAGUCUGGUAGAAGACUUGGAGUAUUUCUGCAUCAGCUGGAAAUCAUUACAGAAGGGAAUAAGAUGAAAAUGGCCUCUAUUGAGGAAAAUAUCACUUAAACGAUAAAAAUGUGUACUACCUCCUAGCAGAAUUGGGUGGUUUAUUCUCACUCUCUUAGAGCUGAUUGGAGUUAGUAGCUCCAGUUUUAAGUCAUUAAGUAAAAGUGUAUAGGAAAGGCUAAGUGCAAAAAAUGGACAUUAAGCAGAAUUAUAUAGGUACCAAAUGAGAAGUUUUGUAGGUGGAUUUCUAGAGCUGUUGUGUGUGCUAUCUAAGAGUGAUAUGGAGAUGUUUCCCCACUGCCAGUACACUUCUCCUUAUUUAUUACAGCUGGACCUUGCUAUAAUCCAGAUCCCGCCUUUAAAGCAGAGGGAGAAUAUCUCAUUUUGAUGUCUUGCAAUGAAAUAGUCCCAUGCAUACAUUUCUGGAGGAAUUUUGUGUGGAACUGGUGCAGACCAGCUCUGGGUCUCUCCAAAAUCCAUGUUGAGAUCUUAAAAUUACUUCCAGGGCACCACAAUGUGGAUCUGCAUGCCCUAAUUUCAGACUGCAAUAGCUAAGGCUAUGUUAAUUUGUCAUCCUCUCCUGUGCUUCUAAAUGGUUGGCAUGGCAGGGCACGUGCUCCUCCACAGCAUGAAGGUUUCUGCUCAGCUUCAUCCAGAGGAGAGAAAUACCAUCCUCAUAAUGAGUUUUAAAUGUAACACAAUCAGCUUGGCUUCUUAAGUAGUGCAGAACUGAGUAUUUGAUUCAGUGCAUUUUGGGAAUCUGUUUUUAUUUACUCACAGCCUCUUUACAUCCAUAAGCAAUGUGAAAGGGUGUUACAGCAGGGGUGGUUAUAGAGUGGUUUAGCUUGUUGAAAAUAAACCAGCUCUCUCCACUGGCCAAGGAGAGCUCUCACUACAGUGCCCUUGGGAGAAUGAGAAAUCAAUCAGUCAUUGCCAAGCUGGUGCACUGAUGCCCAGGUGAUAGAUGCUCCUUCCCAAGGUUAGGUGGGGACCCCGUCUCAAAUCUUGUAAGUUCUAAAAUGGGCAGAUUUGUAUCAUUGGAAUAUCUGUAUCACCACAGACACUGCAGAGCCUUUAUCAUCACAUUUUGUCAGGAACACCAGCACAAAUCACUGGGAUUAAAGAAAAUUGUCAGGAUGAACAUACACCUUAGAAAGUCAUCAUAGUGUUCAUUAAUCAGCAGUCACUCUUUAGUAAUUAAUUAUUUAGCCAAAUUGGAAAAAAUUUUCCACAUGAAUGAGGAGAUGUUUACUUAAUAAAGCAGAAAGCUCCUAGAAGCAUGCCCUUGUUUUCCUCAAUUUAGCGGAUGAUAAAUUUAUAUCCUCCUGCUUUUACAGCUCAGGAAAAAAGCCACGGUGCUCUAUCAACUUGUUGCUGUUGGUUUCUGUCCAGCCAGUUCUUCAACUGGAAACCUGAUGCUGCUCAGUGUGUGCAUUUAAGAUGUUUGAAUGGUAGAUACAUGAGCUGAUGGUCAUGGUCUGUUAUCUCUCUGCGUGCCCUGAGCCCUUGUGAAACACUGAACAGGAGAGUGUGGUGCCAAAUCCCAGCUCCAGGGUUGGCGUUUCUCCAGCACUGACUGAUGGCAUCACGGUCACAUUAGAAAAGAGGAAGGGCCCCCAAUACCUCCAUCCUGGCAAAAGCCUUGUGCUCAAUAAGAAUUCCCUUGGAAGCGUGUUGCUGGGACCAGGCAGAUCUUAUCUCUGCAGUGAGCUGGGAUGUGCAGGACAGAAGAAAGCCAGUGUUGGCACUGGGGAAUCCAGGUUCUGAUAGCAAAUCAAAAUCUUGGUAUCUUCUGUGGUGAUUGUGUUGUCUGUUCAGUGUCUUUCAGCACAGCUAAUUAUUAAAAGCAUUCAACAACAACAAAUGUGAAGAGGAAAGAAACACUAAGAGAGCUCAUAAAUGGUAAAAAGACAGUGAUUAGUAAUUUUAAUAUGGUUCAGUAAAUAAUUCAGAAUCCAGCCUUUAUUUUUCUAUGUAAGUUUUUAUUUAUGUACUACUUAUGUUUACUGAUACUUUCAAUAAAUCUCUUUAUUUUAAAUUCAUAUUUAGCUGAACAAAUUAUAGAUCUUUUUCCUACAUGACAGAGCAUGAAAAUUAUUACACGGGUAUUUUUAGUUCUGAUCAGUGAGAUCAAAUAGUACUAAUUUCCCCAUCUGUGAUCAAACAAAUAGGUGAGGCCUUCUGGCAUAAAUAGGUACACAGUAUACAGGAUUAAAUUUAAAUUCUGAUUUUAUUUACUACUACUUCAUGGUCUUUAAAAUAGGUUUUUGGAGUUUCCAGUAAAAAAUUGGAAAAAAAGUUCUUACAAAGUGUCUAGAACAAUGAUACAAACCCAGCUGAAGUGGUGUAUUUAAAUUCUGAAGUCACUGGAUAAAUAUACUGAGAUUUUUAAAAUAACCAGGAUCAUCACAUUUUUAGUGGCUCCCUCACUAACUUAGGUGCACACUGGUGCAGCACAGAGCCUGUCUGAAGCUCUCAGACACAUCCUGCUCAGUCUGUUCUCCAGGAGAAUCCUCCUCACUCAGCAGAUCCUCCUGAAGACUCACUCUGUGCUUAACUCUCCGCUGUGGGUUUCCAGCAGCCCCGCAGCUGUGUGAGGACUGUACAGCUCAGCACUGCUGCACUGAGGCCACAGGAUUUACAGGGCUUCCAAAUUAGAGCUGCACCUAAUCUGCAUGUGAUUAAGUUUAGGAGGUAGCUCACGUUUCAUUCAUGCUCAGACCCCAAACCCCAGAACAAGUGAGUUUUCCAAUACUGUGCACAUCAACAUCAACGGGGUUGAACAGAAUUGGGUUAACACCUGAGCCUUGCUGAAGACCACAUCAUUUCUGCUUGUGCUGAUUGCCACCCACUUUUAAUCCCACUCUGUGUAUCUAACCAUUGUCCAAAUAUCAUUCUGUUUCUUACUCCUUUUGGAAAACAAAAGAUCAGGGGAAAAAUUAUUCUUGUGUUGUGGGCUUUUUCCUGGCACAUGCAUUUCUCUUUUGCCACAGGAGCUCUCAGGUACCAGCUUUCAAAUUUAUUUCAAUUACAGUUCUUUGCCAUAUUACUUGUAUAAGGAGAAGGAAAAAAACACUGGUUUUAGGAAGAGCAGGUUUAAUUGUAGCAUUUCAUAUGUAUUUAAUAACUUCAAGAAAUUAGGUUGUGUAAAAUCAUCUGGAACUAAAUCCUCCUUUCCCCCCUCUACUUGGUGCUCACAAAGCAGCAUUUGAAAUGUCACGUUUAGUUUUGGAUCUCCUAAAUCAAGGGGUGAAUCACUGAUAAACUGGGCCCUCCAACGUGUUUGGGCUGGUGCACAGGUCGAGUAAAGGGAGGCUGAGGGAGUUGAAGAAGAGAAAGCUGAGGAAGACCCUGCUGCUCCUUUCCACCGCCCAAAGAGGGCGGGAGAUAAGGUGAAGCCAGACUCUUCUUAGAGAUACACAGUGAAAGUUUAGAGGCAACAUAGAAGCAUUUCAUGGAAAUAUGUAUAAGGAAAUAAUGUUUCAUGGGGAGGUUGAUGCAAAAGUGGAACUGGACCCAGGAAAGGGAGAGUCAUCAUCCCUGAAGAUUUUCAAAACUCAACAGGACAAGGACGUGUGCAACCUGGCCUACAUGAGAUGGUAGCUCUGCUCUAGACAGGGACCUCUACCCCAAGUUAUUCAAUGAUUUUAUGAUGAGAAAAUCCAAAUUAUUCUUCUUACUCAGUGUUCCUAAUGGCAAUGUUGACUAAAGAUUUACCUCCAAGUGGAAACCAGAAGAACAGUGUUGCACUUAGCAGAAUUUACCCUGCAAGUGCAUAAAAAGCCAGGCUUCGCUGGGACUGUUUGGUUAUCAUUCCUAAAUGCCCUUCACACCACUUUGGUUUGUUUCUUUGCUUCUGCGUGUUGUCUUCUUAGAUUUAUUCCAUACUGCAUUUUACUUGCAGCCUUCUGAAAUCCUAAGCUAGGGUUUGACUAACAUCUUGUUUUGUUGGCGAUGUCUGUCCCUGCCAGCUGUGGUGAUAUUGUAGCACUUGUAUGGUGAUAUAUGGCAGUGCAGUGAACCAGACUGUGGUACUGAUAUGAGUUAACGUAACUCAAAAAAAUAUCCCAAAAACCCAGAAAGAAAUGUCUGUCAAAUGGUCCCUUAAGGCAGCCAUGUACUGAAGGUUGAGAUGUGGGCUUGUAUUAAAGGAUUCAGUCACUCCUGACUAGUUCUGUGUGCCAGGGCUUAAUUUUUGAGGGUAAAUCGGUCACAUUCAAGAUUGAAAAGCAGUUUCUAAGUUCUUCUGUACCUUUAGGCAUUUAAAUGAUGGGUGGUUUUUUUUUCCCAAACCAGCCUUAUUUGCUCUAUGAGUUCUUGUAAAAGAAAUGCAAAUCUCUUACUGGCUUGAAAUUUCUGUGUUGUUUAAAUUUCCUGUGAUGCAUAACACAAUGAAAAGGCAAGUGCAGCCAUUUGUUGCUGUUUCACUGUAUUUAGACCAUCUUUCAUGCUUCUAGAGGUCAAAUCCAUUUAAUCUGGUUAUGCUAUUUCAAUCACAUUUACAUUUUUAAUGCAAAGCUCAAGUUCGCUUCACACUAGAAUGAUCGCUCUGGUUUUGUAACAAGCUUUAGUCGUCCUGGGCUUUGGAGAUUUCUCUCUUCUAUUUUCCCUCAGCCUUAGACACAGUCUUUGUAAUUUAUAAGGUAACUUUCCCUCUUGAGGUGCCAAAAUGUUACAGAAUCCUGAUUACAGGAGUGCUGGACAACAGUUUCAAAUUGUAUGUUACUGGGAGCAAAUUUUGAAGCCUUCAUUAAAAGCCUGUCAUUGAUGUGUUUACCCUAACCGUGGUAUUCAGGGUGGUUUUCAUAGAUCACUGCUGCCUUUUAAAAGGAGAUACAGAAUUGCAUCUUCACCCAUCUCCCAUUUAGACAGCGAGCUACCCCAGUGCUCUUCCGGCCUCACAAGGGCUCACCAAUUCACAGCUUCAUUAGGACACCCUUUGUGCUCUUACUGUAAAUAAACCAGGCUAGAAAGUCUUCCUUGUGAAAGAUAUUUGUGACAUUCAUAGCUUCUCAAAAGCUCCAGAAAGAAGCUGCCCUAUCCCUUCCCUCUGUAAGUUUUGUGUUUCCUCUUUUCCUUAUGAGAAGGCUUUUCACUUAAACACCUUUUUCCCCAAUAGAAGAUGCUAUAUGUUAAGGAACUUAGGAAAAACUAAGAAAGUACACCAGGCUGUUUAGCAUUCUUUGAAGCCCCACUUGCUUCUGAAUUUGAACAAUUCACUGCUCCCAUUGCCUUUUGCAGUAGUAACAUGCUGGCUUCAACCGUGUUCCUGCAUUAUCCCCUAAGGACAUAGAAAAUAAGGCCCUAAAUGCUUGCUUUGUUUACUUGCUAUAUCACUUACAAACAUGCAGGAGAGAAAUGGCCAGCCUGGCAGAUGUUUAACACCACCAGGCAAGACAAGAACUUAGUGCAGAUAGUGAAAAAGAGGCUGAGAGGGACAGAGCUUAAUCUUUUGAAGAAAGAGUCAAACAAGCAAUCAUGAUCACAUUCAGGCUCUGGAUAACAAAACAAGGUUGUUUGCUAAGCAGUCAUCCAGAAGACUGACAGCAGCUUGAUACAACAAUGCCUGGACUGGACACUAACAUCUUUAUGUGAACCUUGCUCAAAGCAAGUGCCAAGAGUAAGAGGAUCAGAGCUGUCAGAGCUAUUAAGAAGGGCAAAAGCUGGCAGCAAAAAUGGCAACCCCCCCAUUCACAUUGUAGGAUGUGACCAUAAGAGAUUGUCAACAAGAAACAUUCUAGCAAGCUCUCUUUUCAUGGUAAGACUCAAAGACUAACUUCCUAAAUGAGGCUGAAGAAGCAGGACUCAAAACUCUACAAGCUAAAAGAUAUAAUGAUAGAAUGUGCUUUUCCUUUUUAAAAUACAUCCUUCCAUAACCAACAUCAAAACACAGGGGAAAAGGAGAGAAACUGUUUCAAGUUCAGUUACAAGCAAGCUUUCUUUAAUUUCUGAUUUAUUCUCUCCUAGAAGACCUCCUUAAUACAUAUUACUGUGAGUAGUGCUCCUCACUGUAAGUGGAGAGACACUGAACCAUUUGCCCAAAGCCCCUGCAGUAAAUAUCCACCAGCAGUGUGACGAGUGUAAAAAUAAAUGCAAGCGUACAGAGGUACAGAAGCAGAUCUUAUAUCCAGUUGCAAACUCACACUUAAUUAUUAAUGACCGAAGUGCUGUAGUUUUGCACUAAGUAGCAAAACAUACCCUGAAUAUCUCUCAGGUUAUGUCAGAUUGACAGAGCAUCAGUGCCAAAGACAAUGUCAACUUUUCAGUGAUGGAUCAAGUACCGUGAGAGCAAGAAAGGUGAAUAUUCAAAUGAGAAUCUCGGUUUCCUCUGAUAAUGAGCCAGGAAUUCCACAUUCAAGAACUCAUUGAUGGAAGUUGUCCUUGUCAUAGACAAAACAGUAAACAACUUCAGAAUAAUGAAUUACAAGCAGAAAUUAUACUAGUGAGUGAUGGAGUAGAUCAUGGAAAGGUCAUUUUGUCCAUCUCUGUCCUAAUGCAGAUUUCUGUUGGAUUAUAUAUUCCUCAGUGUUCUGCAUGGUUUACUCGUAAACGACUUAAAAACAUGAGUAUUUAAAUUGUUAUAUGAAUUGUGUAUCACUCAACUGCAGAUAGUUUUUGCAUUAAAGAACUUUCUCCAAUGGACUGAUAAUUUUGUCUGAAAUUUUCUUUUGCUUCUUUUAAUCACUUCUCUGCACAGAAGAGCUUUUAUCACUUUCAGCUGGAGUAGUAAGUAUGACUGGUGAAUCUCUGUGAGGAACUGUAUCUUUUCUAGCCUUUGUACCCGAGUUUGGAUGGAGAAGUUGGUAUGUUUUACUGUACUGAAGAUUUCCAGUGUGAGAGAGACCAUCCUCAACCACAGACAGGAACUGUUUAGUCUCCUCAAUGAAAGGAAGUGGUUGGAGGAAGCGAUACCAGUUCAAGUGGGAGAUUUCACAGGUUACAUCUCAGAUCCCUCCUAGUGAAUUUGUCUACUAAAGCAGGCUCAAAGCUGAAAGAAAGAUUAUGCUGAUGGCAAACAAAUCAGAAAUGGAGAGGUUGUGGCUAGACUGUGUUUGGAAUGCUGGCCUGCCAAGAGCUGAGGGCAAUUUUUGGGGAAUCUAGAGGAAAAAUCUUGAAAUAACUUUUUAAUGCUACUGCAAAGUCCUGUUUAGCUAUGCUGACCCAGCAAAACAGAGGCUGUAAACCCAGACACAGCUUUUUGUCCACUGCAGUGACACCUGCAUCGCUCUGCAGCCUCCAUGUCUUAUCAUAUGUCUUUGAGAGGGCAGUGGAUUUAAUAAAGAGACUGGUCUUUAUGAAAAAUAGACUUCAGCUUCACAGAACAAGCACUGGUGUCAUUUGGGCAUCUUGGUGCCAUUCUAAAAGUAGAAGAUGCCCAAGAACUCAUAUCUGCAGCUGGUGCUUGCCAGAAAUGCUUGUAGGAUCUAUAUGGAUGAGUGGAGAAAAGGGGGGAAAGGGGGGGGAAAGGCCUUGCAGGGGAAACAACUGAAGAGAUACAAAUGAAAAUUCAAUUAAACAGAAGAGAAGGAAAAUUCAAAGUAGCAUUGACACCCUGCUCAAGGCUGCUGAUGCAUCUUGAUUUCAUCUCUAAACCUAGUGACUGAAGGCGACAGUGAAGAAAAUAAAUUACCUCCCUGAAAGGAGCUGAAUUAGAUGACCAGAAAGAUGAAAACCUUCAAAUACAGAUAUUCCUUUAUGAUAUGCCCAGGGCUUGUAACAAAUUCAGCCAUCACAAUAGAUCUUGGCCUUGUAACCACUCCAAAGCUUGUCCAAUGUAUGAGGGUUUUUGUUUGGGUUUUUUGUUUGUUAUUUGGUUUGGUUUUUGGAAUUUUUUAGAUUUUUUUUAAGGUCUUAGUUUAUUUGCCUAGUGGAAGACUUGAAAUAGACAAUAAAUGUAAUCCCCUGUUGCCUUCCAUCUUUUGUAACCAUCAGAAUGAUGUUAAUUGAACAUAUUAAAUCCAGAAUUGUGGCAUUUUGCACUCAUUUUACUUUCUGUGCUCAGUUAUGCUGGUGUGGGAUAUAGAAAGUGCUCAAUUGUGGUUGUUCUGGUUGCUACUGGUUUCCUGGUUUGUGGGAGAAGUGUCCAAAUGCUCAGUGUCAUAAGCUGUUUCAGCAGAGAAGCUGAAUGUUCUUUUCUCUUUUAACAUAAACUGCCAUUCCUUCAGAAUGUGGUCGUCAUCAAUUUAUUUCAGCUUUAUUUUGCUCUUUGCCAGCUGUGUGAGGAGUAUGUUCAAUAUAACCAGUCAUUCCAAUAGCUUAAUUUCUCCCCUAAGUAUUUGCUUCUUUCGGGUUGUCACCACAAUCCUAUUUAAAAGCCUGCUAAUAGUAAUUGAAAGCCAUUUUAAGCUUGCAUGUAGUAUCAGAGUUUGAGAAAUAAUAGUUAGCUAUGACAGAUACUAGGAAGCUAAACAACAGCCAAGGCUACCACGCUUUUGGAAACCUAUAUUGCUAAAAGAAACUCAUGGAUCUAGAAUCCACCGAAAUGAACAUGAAUCUUCCCAAGGACUUCAGUGGGAUUCUGAUCAGUUCUGAGAGCAAAGUGUGACCAGCAGUGGCCAGAUGGAGGUUAGGCACAAAAUAUCCAGGAGCUCUGCCUUUGCAAAGAGGGUUCCUGGGACUUCAGCCUGUCUUUAAGAUGAUAGUUACCGAUCCUUCUACAGAAAGCAAAGGGCAAUGGAAGUGAAAGGGUGCUAGCUGGGUUGGACUAAGCAGCGUUUAAACCAAGUAGUCCUCUCCACUACUUGGAAAAGGGUACCAGCUUUGUUGGGAAGGAGGAGUCAGCUGAUCCUAUCUGUUCAAUUCCUCGUUCUUAAUUGUUUUGGCUCAUACCAUCUAUGUGCUAAGUCAAUCUCAAUGAAUGGCAUUUGAAACAUCCCAAUCAAAGUCAUUACAUUAUCACAUUCAGGCCAGGCUUUAAGUAAAAGAGAUUUGGCUUGUUCUUUACAUUGCUUGGCCCCUUUCCCAAAUCUACAGCCAUUAUAACAGAGGAUUAUCUGCACUGGAGGUUUUCUUCAUUUCCAUUAGGAGAAAAAUUUCAUUCAGUGAAGCAAGGGCAGCCUGAGAUGGCAGGAGGAGAUUGGCUCCAUGCUGACGCCUUUGUUAUCUGCUGAGCAGAGCCUGACACCCCCUGAUACUGCCGGGGCCUUGGUGAGGGGCUGUUAUUUAUUUCAGUGUGUAGAACACAUUGUUUUCUGAAAGGGAGGAGAAUCAGCCCUUUAUGAACAGGAGUCACUGGACAGCAUAGUCACCAAGCUGUAGGAGCUGGGGUUUGUUGAUAUAGUUGGUUUUCAGCAAGCGCCUUUGUUGGGCUUAUCUUUUGUUUUAGUCUUCAUCUCUUUGGUGGUGUUUAAGGUGGAUCUAGACUCCCGCUGUCUUUCCCAACCUCUCUGCCUUUUCUAACACAAAAAAACAGGGAUAGGGACAGACUCAAAUUUUUCAAGCUUACAGAUCUCCACAAGGCCCCUUCCCUGAGAUUCAUAUCUUCUUAUCUAGAGACCAUCUGUCCUGCCAUGGGUUGCCUUAGUUCAAGAGGUUCCUCCAGUCAGUUUGCAGACCAUGAAUGACCCUACUGCAUUGAUAGGCAUUGCUUGCUGGUUUUCAAGACUGCACUACACCCUUACAAAAAGGGCUGCUGCUUGAUGGUUGACAGCAAAGCAGUUUGACCUCUGCAUCACAAGUCCUUGUGACAACCCCUGUGACAUGUUUGCAUUCAGGUGGAAGCCAGCUGGUGUAGUGUCCUCACGUCUUCCUACAGUUAGACACUGCACACAUAGGGUGUGAUCUCCAUCUGAGAGAUGCCAUAUGAAUAAAAGACAAACUUCUGGAACCCUUUGGGGCAGUGACCAGUCUCCACUGAAUUCACUUAAGAGUCAAGAAAACUAGGCAUUUGGUUUUGGCAUUAAACACUGGACCAGCAGCAGUGUAGGUAUGGGAACCAGGAGGGUUUUUCUCAGAGGUGUCACGGAAGAAUUAACCUAGCUUUGCAUGACACAUUCAUCAUGCAAUCAUCCCAACCUGGGCCACAAGGAGUGUUCUUCAGGGGCUUGAUCUUCCCAGAAAAGUCUUGGAAAUAUAAAUCAAGAAGUGAAUGAAGAGACAUAAGUAUCAGACUCUGCUCUGGACCAGUGGCUUGUAGGGCAGUUCCUCCAAGACACAAGGCCAUAAGGGAAGAACUUUCUUUCUUGACAGAUAAACAGACAGCUGGUUCCAAGAGCAGUAGCCCUCUACGUGCAACCACUGCCAUUCUCCAUGCUGCCUCAUAUCCUUGCUGCAAGGCUCUAGGUGCAGCUGGUCUGCAGAUCAGCCCUCAGGACCAAUGUGCCCUGCAAGCCUGCACCACACUUCAGCAUAGGGUCUGGCAUGUGCGCAAGACUAAAUUCAGGUUGCUAUCUUGUUAGGGUGGCUGCUAAGGUAGAGUCAGAGGGCCAGGAGUCACCAACCAGUUCACUAAGUAUUCUGAGGUCUUCAGCUAGGAAUAAAUUUUAGCAUGAGGAGAAGAAUGCAUAAGCAUGAGAUGACUUUUAAUUAUCUUUUUUUAUCCUAGAAACACAUCAACAGUAAAGCUGAAGGGGCAGUUGCCAUAAGGAACAGCAGCAAAAUGCCACUUGCUGCCCAAGAUGGAAGUGUGACUUCAAACCCAAAAUGAGAGAACUUACAACUGUAGAUUUGUGUUAAGAUAACUGAUUCAGAGCUUGAUGUCUUUGGGAACCUAGUAGAUAAAUAUUUUGUGUCAGAGAUAGCCAAACCAAUUUAAUCUGAUAUUGAACUUUCCAUUUCCAGUUGAUUUCUUACAUUAUGAAUCUUUGAAGUAAAUCUGUUUGUGGGUGCUGCAAAAUGUGGAGAAACAGCUCUUAUCGGCUGAUUUUUCAAUGCCUGCACAGAACAAAUUGGUAAUGGCCUGGUCUGCUCCCACCUAGCUGACGUGUGGGGGUUCUGGACUUUGGUCAGUCCAGGAACAGGAAGGGAAGUCUGUCCCAAAGGGUAGAAGUGCACAGUCCUGCAUGCAGGAGUCUGCUGCACACCUGCAAAUGCAAUCAGGCUGUUCAAGAACAUAUUCCACAGUCUAGGAAGCCCAGGUUGGAGUGCAGUAGCUCAGCAAAUUCAUGAAGUACCAAGGCAGAUUUUAUCCAAUGGUGAUGUUUGAUUAUUUGUUGGUUUUGCUCUGAUCAAAUUUGCUUUGUUGCUGUAAUAGUAAACAUGGUACAUGUGAAGCUCAGGGCCAUGAGCCUGUAUAAAGGGAUAAGAUAAUGGCUGUUGCUUGAGCCUUUUACUGUCUUUGUAGUUAGAACAGUUAUUGGAAGGCACUAAUCCCUUUCUGCUGAUUAUUGACUUUUGAAUGAAUCCUCAUACACUCUCCAGCAGCAAAACUUGUGGGUUUUCAGGCUCACUAAAGCUCAAUAGAACCAAGACCUUGUCAUUUAUUUUCACUGUUACUAUUAUUUUUCUAUUUCAAAGCAGAGUUUUCUGCUGCGAAUUUCCUACUGUUUCAUCACAAAAGCAAGCAAGGGAAAUUGUUAUUUUUCAUCCCGAAGCUUUUGUCCUUUUUACUUUUAUAAUCCACGUGAGGCGACUUUGCUGGUCAUUAGCCGAGUCAGUAAAGCGAGCUUUCUUUGUUGGGCGAUAGCAGGGAAACAUCAAGUGUCUGGUUCCAUGGUAGCAAUUUGCUCUUGAAAUAAAGCAAGCGUUGAUAAGUUGCUACCCUCAGCUAUAUUUGUCCUAGUAAAUAAACAUCAUUAGGAUUUGAGCACAAAUACAAGUUGUUUUGCUGUGUUUAACUAUUCUGAGAUUGUGUUGGGCUAACAAAAUUUCCUCUGCAUCAGACAGACUUGUUCCAUCGCACGCUUGUUUUGCUGAUGAUGUGUUUCUGCACACCUAGACAGGGAUGUAUUUUUUAACAUAUUGAUCAGCAGAGCAAAUAUGCCUGGAAUGCAUCCCAUUAAUAUAAAGCAGGCAGUACAUGCUUUUGAUGGGCUUGCUUUUUAGAGGCUAAAGGUUUCUAGCAGUGGAAUAAUUUGCCUUUGCAAUGCCUGGGAAUGGUGGAUUUGCUUAGAGGGUGCUGUGGUGUGCCAGCACUGGUCACACAGGGGACAUCACACCCUCAGUGCCUGCACUGCCAAGCCAGCUGAAGGGCAGCAAUUGAUACGUGCUGGCUUACGCUGGCCAGAAAAAGCUCUUUAGGAUUUGUUAUUGGGAUAAAAUUAGGUUUUCCAGGCUACUGAUAAAAAUGGUCAUUAACCCUUUGUCAAUGGCCUGUUCAGCUUCAAAGUGAAAUUGCUCACUUGAACCUCACAAAAUCAGGAUUGUGCUUCUUCCCUGACAGGCAGCAGGACCCAAAACAAAAUAAAGCAGCAGCAGGAGACCAAGUGAAACACAACACUGACAUUUGUUCCACUUGGAGCAGUGGAGCCACCGCUAAUUUGGGCUGGAAGAUUGGAGCACGUGGCAAGAGAUGGUUUGAUGGUUUCAGUAAAUAAACAUAUUGGGUCAGUCUGUAGUUGCAGGUGCCACACAUUCUACAGUGAGGUGAAUCACAGCAGAAAUAGGCCAAUUCCACCCCUUUGCCAUCACAAAAUUUUCCAUAGACUUUUCUAGAAAAUUCAAAGGGUUACACAGCUUCCAGACCCAAUCCUAACAUUUCAUGGGGCUUCCAGCUGCUUUGACAUACUGCAGGAUUUGCAGUGUCCAUCACUUUCUCUGCCCACUUAAACAAACACAUAUCCAUACUCCACAAGUUGGCUGCCCCACCUGCUGCACACCUGAGAACCAGAGAAAAUCCUUUUCUUCACACUUCUGAUUAGUAGUAAUUAGAUUAGGGAAGUUCACAGUGACGGAGGAAGGCUCUCGUCCAUGAAGAACCACCCAGUAGAAGUUAGUAAGGGAUCAAUCAGCUCUAUUACAUUGAUUUGCCAGAGCUGUAACCUGAGCAAGAUCCUAUCAUGCUAGGAAGUCUACAUCAGAGGUGAUGCCUGAUGCAGAGAGGUGUGCUCUCACUGAUUCUCCCUGCUCUUUUGAAACCUCUCAAUCAGUCAAAUCAUGCCUUGAGCAUUGGAAAUGGUGAGUUUCUUCUUCAGUGAGUUCUGCCUCAAAAGUGAGCACCAGUUUGGUUCCUCAGGGAUGCCUGUCCCCAGGAGAUGGAACAGGGACGGUUUUUCUCCUCCACCACACCUUGUAUAAUUAGUCUAGCAGCUCAGUUCCUUUGAGGCUCCACCAGAUUUGCUAAAAUUGGCCAAGAAACUGAAACAUUACUGAAGCAGAAGCAGCAGAAUCAUGCAGGAGUACAUGGGUGACCAUGCAGCAGGUGGUGCAUGGAGAAAGAGCAGACUGAGAAUGCUUCAGCAGGGCUAUCACCCAGGUUUCCUAAACCACUGGACAGACAUUAAACCUAAUUAUUCUUAGGCAAGUAGACAUACUAAAGCCACUCUGAAAUCAUUCUUCACUGAAGCUUUCUUUUUUUACAAGGAAAACUAAUUCUGGGCUUAUUAACAAGUUUCAAUAAAUAGAAUCACACUGAUGAACAGACACUGCUAAUUGCCUUCUGUAAGAUAGCUGGGGAAGUAGAAACCAGGAGCUGAAUCUCCAGGCACACAGCCCCCUUCUUAGCGCCUCCCCCUCCGUCUCCCUGAAAAACAACAGAAAAGCUCAUAUCCCUCUUCUGGCAGGGAUCAAUUAUGUACUGCUUUUAGCAGAGUUUCAGUAUAUUAUUCUCCAAUUGAGGCCAAAUUCAUAAGUGAAGGUGAAGAUGCAUGUCAGAAGGAAAUUGGUCAGAAAAUGGCUGUCGGGUAGGCGUGAGUAGCACAGCACAGUGUAACUCACAACACUUUGGUACUCAGUGGCAAGGCAAAAUUGGUUUAAGUGAGAAUAACUUACACAGAUUUGGGGCGGGGGUGGAUGUAAAAGUACAAACUCUGAAAACGGCCUUUUUCUGAGAGGAGAAAAAAAGGAGAGGCCAGGAAGGGAUCUGUUUGUGGUGAGAAGUGGGUACCAGCCACCAGGAACAAAGGGCCCUGUUUGCAGGAUGUGCCCUGAGGAAAAUGCAAAUUUCUUCUAGUCUCCCAGAGCUUCCUCUUUUUCCCUGUGUCCUGGGAGCCACCCACCCUGCCAGCCCUGUGCCCAAGCAGAGUGCAGAAGGAUUCUUGAGGUUUGUUGAUUAAAACAAAGCCACCAGCAAAGCUGGAGGUGACUGGCAGCCCCCAGCCCAUGCAAUUUGGGUUUGUAGUUUCCUAAGAAAGGAAGGGUUCUGUUCAGUGAUGAUUGCUUUGGGGUAAAGGAAAAAGAAUUGCUGUAGUGACAGGAAAACGCAGAGCUUAUGUUUUGCGUAGAUGACUUAUUAGGUCAGAGCUGGAACAUGCUUUGAUUUGUAUUCCUGAUGAUUGUACACGGGCUCUAAUUGGCCAAAGAAGCAAGGGAUCUUUGUAGUUUAAUGAGGAAAAUACUGUGUAAUGUGAUGAUUAUUUUCUAAUCAAAAAGCAGAGGAAGAGAAUGGGAAAGAAAACCUGUGUGUGAAUACAGACUGUAAUUUUAAUUAAUAUUUGCUUGUGCUAAUCAGUUUCUCUGUUCUGCAACCAGCUGUUAGCCCUAAAUGUGGCCUAAUGUUAUAUAAAUAUUAUAGAAAUUAAUAUUUAAUAUUAUUUUAUGCUUAAUAUUAUAGAAAUAUUUCCUUUCUAUGCUAAGCAUUUUGUCUAUGCAUACUUUUUACUCACAUGUAUGAGCUCAUUUAAGCCAACAGGACUGGCAAUAUUCUAUGGAUAAAUGAGAAUAACCCAUCCAGAGCAUUUUUCUUAGUGAAUCUCAAAGCAUGUCCCUGAUGAAGCAAGUGCCAUUGCUUCCUUUUACAAGUGGAAAAACUGGGGUAGGAAAAAGUUGAGGGACUGGCUUGUGCAUCUGGCAGCGUGUUGGCCAAGCCAGAGUUCAAACCCAGAGGGUCUCUCAUCCCCUCCUUCUUCCACAUCCUAAUCACUACUCCAAAAUAUGUCACCUCUCAACAGGCUCAAGGUACAUGCUUAUGUCUUCCCACUCAGUGCCUCUGGGAGAGGGGUUGUGUAACUCUCCACCAGUGGCCCUUUUGCCCCACAGAAAAGCAGAGCUGAUUGCAAAGGUGAGUCUAUGGAGGAGGGAGUAAGAUGCCUGUCACACCACUCUAUUUUAAACAAAGCAGUAGUAAAAAGCCAGUGAUCCCUGUAGCAUUUGAUAGAACAGGUUGGUGCUUCUCUGAGUUGGAAGGACUGUUUGUCAUGGCCACUUAUGUUCACACUUAUGUUCGUUGCUACCUUUGAGUCUUGGUGGAAAUGGUUCUGAUUCACUGAGUUUCCACGCUGCAUAGUGCUGUGACACUGUGCUGGCCUGAGAUCCUGCUGGAUUUUGAGUAACAAAAACAUCCCAGUCCCUCUUUAAAGCAUACUCUAAGUAAAUAUUAUUUUAAAUGAAGAAUAAAUAGGGUUGGUCAUCUUUAAAAAAUAAAGGAUUAUUCAUUUCAGUUUGACAGCCAACAUUUUGGAGCUGUUAGUGAACAUAACUGGACUUCUAGUGCAAUAAAUAAUUGUGGAUAAUUAUCAAUUUUAACUCAGUGAUUUGUUUCUUUAAAAAAAUGCUAAUGCAAAGCUUCUGUAGCUCUGCUCUCAUAAUUUCAGUUGACUAUGCUCAAAAGUCACAGCAAGGUUCCCACUCCUUCUUGCAAGCCUUAUGAUACCUCCUGAAUUUUCCUUAAAAACCCCUGGAGGCAAAUGAAUUUGUGAAACAUCAAUUCUAGAGCUUGGGUUUUUUUUUAAAUCUCAUCCUCCGUAGCAGCAUAGAAGUUGACAGUGGACCCGAAAACCUUAAAAAGAAAGAAUUAUGUGUGUUCAUCAUACUUUAAUAUAAGAGAUUUGAGAAAUUAAAUUCUUAUAUGCUUUAGAGCAGCAAUUUCAUAUGAGUCAUCUCUUUAAACACCUGAAAAUCUGAAAAACAUCUCAUAAUCAAGAUUUUUUUUCUGACUUGUGUACAUACCAUAGCCAGUGACCAUGGUGGUCUGGUUGUUAUGUGUCAUCCUGCUCUGAAAGUAUUUUGCCUGGCACUGCUAUGUGUCCUGGGAAGAAGGGCUCUGGUUAUCCUGCUCAAGGCAAGAGAUCUCUCUUUCUGACACUUCACCCUCUUGGUGUGGAAGGUGCAGAAUUAAUUUUUGACCCUAAAAAUCAGUGGCCCAGAGUCUUCACCCCCUCCAGGAACAGAGCUGCUGUAUAAACAUGCACCAUUUGCAGGGGAUGUUUUUUGAAAUUGCUCUUUCAGAGUAUGACUUCUUCCAUGUAGCCCUUAAAUUGCUAAAGUGGGAGUCAUGCUUGCCAAAUAAACCCUGUUUUAAAAAUGAAAGGAGGGGAAGGGGAGAAACUUCAUCCCCUUUGCUGUUAUUUCAAAGAGAGCAUUCCCUCUGUGAGGCAGAGCCAGGGCCGGGAUCGCUCCGCUGACAGAACGGGGCCAAGGGCCCCCUGCGUUCUGUGCAACAACGAGGCAUUUUCCAUCUGAAACUGCAGAAGUGUUAAUUAUCCGGAUUGGGCAAUAGCGGGAGCUGUUUAUUGAGGCUCGCUGCUUUCCCUCCCGAGCAGGCUCUGGAUCCCCAGUGGAACCAUUCAUCAGCACUCUGACAAUGACAGUCCGCUGCAGGGCUUUCAGAGCACAACAAGGAUUUCCUCACAGCUCCGAGCGACCGGAGCUGGCUCCCGGUAUAGUACGGAUCUGACAAAGGCAAAAGGAAAGAGAGUCACUUGCUAACACGUAUUUCUCUUUCUGUACUGUAUUUCUUUCUCUCUCCUUCUCAUAGCACUUCACACAAGAUAGAGAAGUGGUGUUGUUUGCAUUUUACAGAGGGGAAAACAAGGCCCAGAAGGGGAAAGCAAAUUGUACAAGCUUUUUCAGUCAGUGAUGGUCAGAACAAGGAGCAGGAGCACUAGCCAAGUCCUAAUUCCUUGGCAGAGCCAUGCAUUCAUCCAGCUGUACUGAAAGCCACUGUAUUUCCAUGCACUUGCACUGUGAGAUAUAGGCUCUAAAGGAAAUACAGGGGGUAAUGCAAAUUUUUACACCCCUGUGUCAUCAUCUGUCAAGCUUCUACUUUCCACUUCCUUCACUAUGUCAUGUACUGUAGGGACAGGCUGCACAUGCCAGUACAGUGUACUUUGGGCACCAUGCAUAUUCAUACCAACCAGGCUCCAGUUUCACUUUGCACAGGCUUUUCUCCAAGCAAUUUUUGCUGAUAUUGUUACAAAAUAUUUUAAUUAAUCAGGAAUUUUAAUUAAUUGUACCCUGCUGAAAAUGCCAAGACAAAGGCAGCAAUACAUGGAGACAGUUGCUCAGGUCAGAGUGGCCCAUCUUUGGUUAGCUGUGUUUUCUCUGAGAUCAUGCAGCGUGAUUACAGACACAGGCACAGGGAAAACUGGAUUCUGAAUGGCAUUUUAAAGGCUUAGAGAAAUAGCGUGGUGCUUUUACCAAGUCAGGAAGCCUGUAUUGAAGCUCUGACAGUGACACUGAGCUGGCAUACUGCAAACGGGAAAGCUGCAUCCCAAAAGGAUUACAAUGGCCUUUUUUCUAGUCCUCUAACUGUUUCAAACAAUCAUUUCAUCGAAGCACUUCAAAUGUUCUGUGUUUUUAUAAAGCUGAAAAUCAGGUCGUUUCUACACCGAUUUCACAUGCAGGGAAUGAAUUAGCACAGCUGCUUAUUUCCACCUUUUGC